CAAUAGUUCGAGCCAAUCCCAUAUCGUCCUCAUUAAUUUCAAGAAAUUAGUAAAUUUCUUCUAACGAACACCCUUUUUAUAUAGUAAUCGAUAAACCUACGAUCGUUAUGGGUCCGUGAUUGCGAGUCGAAACAUUCUCGCGUUUAAAAAUUAUUCACAAAUUGUGAUAUUGACCAUCCUCUGACGGAAAAUUGGUUAUGUUGUACUUGGCGAAUUAAUAACUAGAGAACCGAGACGUAAUAAACAAAGAAGAAGAAAGGGACGAUUGUUAUUGAAAAGUUGUUAAAUAAAACUUUUAUUACAUCGGAAGUAUUUACUAUCAUAAACGCCAGUUGGUACUUAUUAAUGGGCUAACCUAAAUAUCAAUCGCUCUCAACUCUCAAACAAAUAAAUUACUGUGCUCUAUUUGUCAACCCAACAUAAUGAUAAAAGAAAUCGUGCAAGGAAAUACACAACAAAAUUAUUUAUGAUGCUGAAAUAGAAGAGAUAGGAUAUCUAAAGAAAGAUCCUAAAUUUUCAUCAUCAGUUUUAUGUACGUAUAAUGGUCUAAAUUUUUAUAUCUUUACAUCAUGACUUAAUAAGCAAUAGUUGAAAAUAUAAGUAAUAAUUUAAUUAUUAUUUAUAAUUAAGUAUAAUUGUAAGUAUUAUUGUUUAUUACUACUAUAACCAUUAAAAAAAUAUUAAAUUAACUAUAUUUUUAUUUUUCAGAUUAUCGAUAACGUGAUUCCACAAUGAUAUAUACGAAAUGAAUUUGAUUACAGUCGAAUAGAAUUGAUAUUUUCUCCAUAAAUUUAUACACUUGUUUUUCCAUGAAGCAGUAUUCUUUUACCGAAACUUCCUUUAAUAGUUUGCUGUCAGAAUAUAUUUUUCUUUCUUCUGUGAACGCUUUCUAUUUCAAAUUAUCUUAUCUUAUUUUUACAGUAUUGGUAUCUCUUUCACUUUUUAACGAUGUAUCGAUUAAUAAUAUGCCAUUAAUUGUACUUCAUAUAUCGUAUUUCAUAUUACAUUCGAUUUUUGAUACACACACAUCUAUGCGUAGCUCCCCUAUAUGGUUAUCCUAUCUAAGCUUAUUGCCUAUAUAAACAGACAAUUAAUUUUAUGUCCUACUAAUACAAUCUUAAAUUUUUUAGGCUUCCAAAAAUUGAACAUGCUGGAAGAGAAUUGUAAACAUACAGAGAAGACAGUUAUACAUAGAUAUACAUAUGUAGCAGUUUUACAUCGCAUCAAACUUAUUCGUAGACAGAAAACUGCCCUAGGAUAUCGAUAUGCAGAGAAUUACUUUAUGUUUUAAUAUUAUAGUCUUAUAUUUUAUAGUUAUAUUUUAAUAUUAUAGUCUUUGAUGAUAUAUGAAACAGCAGGUAUAUAUUUGUGGUCAUAAGAUUCGUCAAUAUCAAAAAAAUUAUUAUUCCGAAGCUCUGGGAAAAGUUUAAAGAACCGUACUAAAGCGUUAUGAAUGUCUCUUGCAACUUUAGUUUCAUUAUUAGCAUAGCUUUUAUCAUUCCUACUGAAGUUAUAUCCAAUACCAAUUGGAUUAUCAAUGUACAUUAAGUUACGAAAAAAAUUUAAGAAAUGUAAUACUUACACGAUGCAAGCGUUGUUAGAAUGAUUCGUUGUCCAAAUAAAACACGUCCAGACAGCUGCUUGGAGGAACGAAUACUGCGUACUAACAACGCGUAAGUAAGGACGACGAAUGGGGAAAAGUCGUGCUAAGGACGAUUUCUCCGAUCGUCCCUUUAUUUUUAUUUGGAUUGUUUACAAAUACUUUUCCCUACAAGCUUCCCAAAUUCUCCGAAUUGUACGACGUAUAUGUACAUAGAUAUAUAUACACGUAGUAAUAACAAUUUAUCACGCUCAACUAGUGUUUUUUUUUUUUUUCGUUGCUUGCCGUAAACAAAAGGUAUAGGAACCUUUAAGCUUAAUUAUCCAUAUACUAAUGUUAUCUUUCUCUUUCUAUUAAGAUGGUAUGUAUUUACAAAGGAACAAACUUACGUGUGUGUAAGCAACGAGACUGCUAUAACGACAAUUUAAAUGUUUAAAAUUAACCUUAACCUUUAUUUUUAUGCAUGAAUUAUUAUCGAGAAAAUAUCAUUUUUUUCAAAGAAAACUAACCAAACGUAUUCGUGAGUUCGGAAGAAUCGUAUUCUCACUCGAAUCUUUAUCUUUAAAACGAUCUCGUUCGUCAAAAUCGUUAAAAAAUUAUACUUGUACUUAUCGUUGGGCCUAAACCAUCAUAAAACAACGAGCGAUGGACAGCCCUAAUCUUAAAUAAUUUAUAAUUUCGAUUACUUUACAUUCGUUUAGACACUGCAGAGUGUAUAAGGAGUAUAUCUAAUCAUUGAACAAUAGUAUAUAAAAUAGCGAGAUACUCGUUACACGCGGUUUAGUAAGAAAUUUCAUACAUGUUCUUUCAUAGACCUCUUCCUCGUCACGUUUUAUGGCUUUUUAUAUUGAUUUCUCUUUACUUGGUACAAAUUUAAUAUCGUUCUUCCUUUGAACUUGUUCCUCUCUUAUUAACACUUUUUAUGCCGUUAAGUAUUUCAUUAAAAUAACCUUGACUUAAAAUUCCAAUAAUUUAUAAUUCUCGAUCUCGCGGUUUUCGUCUACGCGUACUGUCAACAAAAACGGACUUUUGAACGAAUCGGAUGGUUACUCUCUCUUUCUAAAAGCAGAAACUUCAAAAUUAAUACUUUCCGCGUACUAACAUCGAAAAUGAUAUACAUUUAUGUGAAAAAUAAUCGUACGCGGGCGCACGAACAUUUUCCUUACAAAUAUAUUUUCACGUUUACGAGCUUUAUUUCUACAGAUAUCAAAUCGAAAUGAUUAAUUUUCACAGUUUGAUGCAGCACGAUAUCCGUUUAGAUAGUUUUUAAUUUCGUAUAUCAUAUUUUUAACGUUUCCAUAUUAUUAUACAAACAGAUCGAAACAACAAACACGUGGGGAAGCCAUUGUACAGAUGACGUAACGCGUACGCGGGACGGUCCAUAGCUUUCUUCCUGCCGCUUAAUCCGCCAUUCGGAAUUAGUUCGUGGCACGCGUCGCAACCGAGCUUCGUCCUCUCGUUGAUUGCAGUUAAUUAGAAUAUUUUAUUUAACGUACGCUCUAAUUUUAUAUAUCGAUCGAACGUCGAAAACGCGAUUUUCACGGGUGAAUUUAUCAACAUCGAUCACGCUCAACUACGAAAUAUAUUCUACUGCGUUCCUUAACCUAACAACCAUACAAGCCAUCGUUAUUUUCGAUGAUAGAAUGCGAGAGGUACGACGUCUGGAUUUUCGUCAUCAAUUUUACUUAUUUACAAUAAUAAAUGAUGUUCGACAUAUAACGACGACUGAUCGAAACAACAAGCACGUGGGGAAGCCAUUGAAAAGAUGACGUAACGCGUACGCGCGACGGUCCAUAGCUUCCUUCCUGCCGCCUAAUCCGCCAUUCCAAAUCGUUUCGUGGCACGCGUCGCAACAGAGCUUCGUCCGUUCGUUAAUUGCAGUUAAUUAGAAUAGUUUAUUCAACGUGUACCAUUAUUUUACAUACCGAUCGAACGUCGAAAAAGCGAUAUCCGCGGAAUGGGAGAGGUACGACGUCUGGAUUUUCGUCUUCAAUUUUACUUAUUUACAAUGAGAAAUGGUGUUGGACACACGACGACGAGUGAUCGAAACAACAAGCACGCGGGGAAGCCAUUGCAAAGCUGACGUAACGCGCAUGCUCGACGAUACAGCUUCCUUGUUGCCGCUUAAUCCGCCAUUCUGAAUCAGUUCGUGGCACGUGUCCCAACCAAGCUUCGUCCUCUCGUUAAUUGCAGGAUGGAAGAGGUACGAUGUUCGGAUUAUCAAUUUUACUUACGUACGAUAAGAAGUGAUAUUCGAUACAGGACGACGAGUGGGCGUAGAUUCUGUAAAUUUGUUCGUCAGCGUUAACAACACAGUGUGGCCCAUGUUCCUAGAAAGAAGCAAGAUUGAUUUGGCUAGAGUUCAACAAAGUAGACGUCUUCCGUUUAAGUUUAUACAUUCAUUCUUCGAUUAAGCAGUGUUCUUUCAGCGAAACUUCUUUUAGUAAUUUGCCGUCAGAGUAUAUUUUUUGUUCGAUUGUACAUUUUUUGGGAAGUGCGUUUUAUAUACGUGGAAUAGUUGAUAAUUCGGAAUUCAUUCAAAUUGAUUAACGUUGAUGUAACAUUAUUUCUUUAAUUUUACAUUAGUGGAUUUUACAUGGAUUCUUUCAACCUUCAUCGUCGUCAUGUGAUUAAUAAUCGACAUCAUCAGGAUAGGGAGGAGUUGUGCACGGUCGUCACCGCGCAGUUGAAUCUUUCUAGACGCAACCCACUUUUUAUCGAGCACUUGUUUAUGGUCGAGAUUUGUCUCGUACCAUUUUCUGUGCAUUUACGCUGGUUGCUCUGCCUUCGUCCAGCAUUAUAAAAUAACCGAGGACAUUCUACUCUCCUCCUUAUUUUUUAGACCUGCUUCAGAUGUCGUUAAUUGAUCUCACGUCGAGGACGAUCGAUGGGAAAAUCUAUGUACGCGAACGCGCUUAAUCUACAUUAUUUUAACGAGUCGUCGUCCGUCUUGGAAUAUCACUGCGAAAUAAAAAUUGUAGACUUUUCGUUGAUAGUACAUGAGAGAACGAAUACUGCUUAAAUCACGGAGUGGAUGUAUCAUUCGACGGGUCGUUUCCUGAUUGCUGUAAUGCGGUUGACAGUUCUUUAGCCAUCGAAAUGUUACAAGCACGUGGGGAAGCCAUUGCAAAGGUGACGUAAUGCGCAAGCGCAGCGGUCCACAGCCUCCUUGCUGCCUCAGAAUCCACCAUUUUGAAUAAUGAUUGGCACGUGUUAUGACCAAGCUUUUUUCUUGCAGGAUGGAAGAGGUACGAUGUUCGGAUUAUCAAUCUUACUUACGUACGAUAAGAAGUGAUAUUCGAUACAGGACGACGAGUGGGCGUAGAUUCUGUAAAUUUGUUCGUCAGCGUUAACAACACAGUGUGGCCCAUGUUCCUAGAAAGAAGCAAGAUUGAUUUGGCUAGAGUUCAACAAAGUAGACGUCUUCCGUUUAAGUUUAUACAUUCAUUCUUCGAUUAAGCAGUGUUCUUUCAGCGAAACUUCUUUUAGUAAUUUGCCGUCAGAGUAUAUUUUUUGUUCGAUUGUACAUUUUUUGGGAAGUGCGUUUUAUAUACGUGGAAUAGUUGAUAAUUCGGAAUUCAUUCAAAUUGAUUAACGUUGAUGUAACAUUAUUUCUUUAAUUUUACAUUAGUGAAUUUUAUAUGGAUUCUUUCAACCUUCAUCGUCGUCAUGUGAUUAAUAAUCGACAUCAUCAGGAUAGGGAGGAGUUGUGCACGGUCGUCACCGCGCAGUUGAAUCUUUCUAGACGCAACCCACUUUUUAUCGAGCACUUGUUUAUGGUCGAGAUUUGUCUCGUACCAUUUUCUGUGCAUUUACGCUGGUUGCUCUGCCUUCGUCCAGCAUUAUAAAAUAACCGAGGACAUUCUACUCUCCUCCUUAUUUUUUAGACCUGCUUCAGAUGUCGUUAAUUGAUCUCACGUCGAGGACGAUCGAUGGGAAAAUCUAUGUACGCGAACGCGCUUAAUCUACAUUAUUUUAACGAGUCGUCGUCCGUCUUGGAAUAUCACUGCGAAAUAAAAAUUGUAGACUUUUCAUUGAUAGUACAUGACAGAACGAAUACUGCUUAAAUCACGGAGUGGAUGUAUCAUUCGACGGAUCGUUUCCUGAUUGCUGUAAUGCGGUUGACAGUUCUUUAGCCCACGUGGGGAAGCCAUUGCAAAGGUGACGUAAUGCGCAAGCGCGGCGGUCCACAGCUCCCUUGCUGCCUUAGAAUCCACCAUUUUGAAUAAUUAUUGGCACGUGUUACGACCAAGCUUUUUUCUCACGUUGAUUGCAGAAUGGAAGAGGUAUGACGUCCAGAUUUUCGUCAUCAAUUUUACUUAUUUACAAUAAUAAAUGGUGUUCGACACACAACGACUGGAUGUAGACGUGAUUUCUUUCGUUAUUGUUGACAUUACAUCGUGGCUAGUUUUCUUAAAAAUAAGCAAGAUGAAUUUAGUUACAUUCGAACAGAAUUGACAUCUUGACAGUACGAACGCUACUUAAAUCGUGGAAGGAAGCGUUCCUUGAUCUAACAACCAGCUAAGGAAUCAUUAUUUUCGAUGAUAGAAAGAAAGAAGUAUGAAGUUCAAAAUUUUCGUCAUCAGUUUUACUUAUCUAUGAUAAGCAAUGGUAUUGGACACAGGACGACAACUGAUAAGCAAUAGUUGACAUAUAUUAUUAUUUAUUUUCACGUUACCCUUUACGAUAACGUUUAGCUAAUUCUACAUUUAUUUUUUCAGGGUAUAGGCAUUGCGAUUUCGUCCGUUAUUGUUAACAAUGCAUCGUGGCCCGUGUUCCUUGAAAUAAGCAUGGUGAAUUUAGUUACAGUCGAACAGAAUUGACAUCUGUUUACACAUUCAUUCUUCGAUUAAACAGUGUUCUAUUAACGAUACUUUUA